rnacentral:rRNA from 1 species
CCUACGGGUGGCAGCAGUCGAGAAUCAUUCACAAUGGGGGAAACCCUGAUGGUGCGACGCCGCGUGGGGGAAUGAAGGUCUUCGGAUUGUAAACCCCUGUCAUGUGGGAGCAAAUUAAAAUGAUAGUACCACAAGAGGAAUAGACGGCUAACUCUGGGCCAGAAGCCGCGGUAAUACAGAGGUCUCAAGCGUUGUUCGGAAUCACUGGGCGUAAAGUGUGCGUAGGCUGUUUCGUAAGUCGUGUGUGAAAGGCGCGGGCUCAACCCGCGGACGGCACAUGAUACUGCGAGACUAGAGUAAUGGAGGGGGAACCGGAAUUCUCGGUGUAGCAGUGAAAUGCGUAGAUAUCGAGAGGAACACUCGUGGCGAAGGCGGGUUCCUGGACAUUAACUGACGCUGAGGCACGAAGGCCAGGGGAGCGAAAGGGAUUAGAUACCCUUGUAGUC